rnacentral:rRNA from 1 species
UACGAAGGGGGCUAGCGUUGUUCGGAAUUACUGGGCGUAAAGCGCGCGCAGGCGGUCUUCCAAGUCAGUGGUGAAAGCCCGGAGCUCAACUCCGGAACUGCCAUUGAAACUGUGAGACUUGAGUAUGAGAGAGGUGAGUGGAAUUCCCAGUGUAGCGGUGAAAUUCGUAGAUAUUGGGAAGAACACCGGUGGCGAAGGCGGCUCACUGGCUCAUUACUGACGCUCAGGCGCGACAGCGUGGGGAGCAAACAGG